CCCGCUGAACUUAAGCAUAUCAUUAAGCGGUGGAAAAGAAACUAACCAGGAUUCCCCUAGUAACGCCGAGCGAACCGGGAAUAGCCCAACUUGAAAAUCUCCCCUUGGAGAAUUGUAGUCUACAGAAGCGCCCUCAUGGGCUGGCGGAACUCAAGUCGGAUCGAAUGCCGCGUCAGAGAGGGUGAUAACCCCGUCGGUUCCUGCCUAGUCCUCUCACGAGGUGCUUUCCACGAGUCGGGUUGUUUGGGAAUGCAGCCCUAAUUUGGAGGUAAAUCCCUUCUAAGGCUAAAUACUGCUGAGAGACCGAUAGCGAACAAGUACCGUGAGGGAAAGAUGAAAAGAACUUUGAAAAGAGAGUUAAAAGUGCUUGAAAUUGUUGAGAGGGAAGCGAUUAGCGCUUGUGUGUGCCCCCAGGCUUAAGUGUGCCUAACGGCCCAUUGAAUGUGCUGGGUGCUGGUCAGAGUGGGUUGUCUUGGCGGGAAAACAGUUGGGUCCACCCCGGUAACCCGGCCGAUGCCGCCGAGAUGACCAAGGCGUGAAGGUUCCUUUGUCCUUCGGGAUCCGCAUCCUAAAGACUCUGGCAGAAAAGCGUUAAUCGACCCGUCUUGAAACACGG
rnacentral:ncRNA from 1 species